AUUUUGUGAUUUUAUAUCACACGGAAAGAUAACAUUUCUGACUGCUGGAUAUGUGGCAGACAUUAUGUGAAAUGCUUUAAAUAUCAAUCAGCCUUUGGGCAGAAAACAAAAAGAUAGCUUAAUCCAAAGUUUACUUGAAGAGAAUUUAAUGAAAGCGCUUUUAAACAGUGUGGAGGAGGAACAAGAGAACCAGCAGGAGUUGGCGAGGUACCCAAGGUGUGAGAGAGGAGGAAGCUCUACCACCCAAGCGUGAAGAUCCAGCAAGAGGUGCCUUGACUUGGUGUGAGAGAAACAUUGAGCUGGAUAAAAGUAAAUAUGGAGAGCCCCCAACGACCACAGAAGAGAGUUUCGCAUGGACCAGUGCAUGGUACAAGCCUCUCCAGUCAGUCAGUAAGGGCUCCAGAAGGAGCAGGAAAAAGACCCUACAUCAGGAAAGCAC
rnacentral:lncRNA from 1 species